AAACUAGGAAUCACCAUUCAAUAGGCAUUGACCGAACUGGGUCGAGCUAUUCGGUAGACUCUAGCCGAAGUUGGGUCUAUACCAUUCAGUAGACUCCAACCGAGGCUGGGUUUAUACCUUUUUCUCACAUUUAUGAUAGUAAUCAGAUCUAAGAAUUUUAUAAACUCUCGUUCUCUACACUGCUGCUUCAGGAGCAAGUUAGAAACUUGGAAAGACGAGAAAAGUAUUCUCCAGUCAAAAUUCGAUCAGAUUUAUAAACUUCAGAAUCGUACUCAUUCAUGAACGUAAUCAUGGUGUGCUUUAGGCAAUGUCUCGCAUGAUCAGAAGGUCUGUAGGAAUGAGCCAAAGAGCCAUGGAAACCUUGUUCGGGAGGUACUUCCGUUUGUAAUGCUUCGGGUAUAAGUCUUUAAAUGAAGAACAUGGCGGGGCUUAUUCAACUCUUCCAUGCUAGUGUUGGCUUCAAUGGUUUCUCAGCUACUUGUAGUCAAGUGGAGAUUCACAUUUUGUACCCGACAUACAGUGGUUUCUAUUAGAAACAUCCAAAUUAGGAAAAUCGAACUUGUGACGGUUUGACAAUGUACUAAAUUGGAGGGAACAAGAUUGUGAUUGGUGCUAUGGGAAUGAAUCAUCCAUAAGCAUCAAAAUUAGAACAUUUGGGUUCUAAGACAUGGUAUACACGAAAAUUUUGAGUUUUCAUGAAUGUAUUGUUUUAUGAAAAUUUCGAGUUCAAAGGCACUAAAUUUGAAACUACAAGUUCAAUUUAGUUUAUGAACGUUUAGUUCAUAAAAAAAAGGUUUCUGCAAGAACACAUAAUACAAAGUGUUGAUUUAAGUGCAGUGGAUUUAAGUUGCUUUGGGAUCUCAAGUGUGAGCGCUUCAGGACUACGAAAGGAUGUCAACGGUUCAAAGAAGAGAAAUAAAUUAUUGAAUCGUUAAUGUCCAAAAGUGGGCUUUAGGCUAAUAAUUGUCAAUUUCUUGUCAGAUUAAUGGAAUGCUGAUCACUUUUAAUUAAUUCAAUAGAUCGAGACCAUUCGGGGUUGAUCGUGGAAGAAAAAUAAUGACAUAUGGGUCAUAUUAGCUUUGGCUGGUGAUGGGUCAAGUGACAAGUAUAUUAUAGCUUAAUUAGCAUUAACAAAAAACGUCCCAAAAAUAUUUGGGUAUGGUUAAGAAGUAGGGGAUGCCAAAAUAUGGCAUCUGGUCGAAAAAAAAAAACCACAGCCCAACACGUUUGGGGUGGUUGUGUGAGGUGCGGCCAUGCAGUAAGUUGUAGGCCUUAAGUUAUAUGAAAUGGCUAGACAGCAGCCUAACUUGGCUGCAGGUUAGCGGGCCAGGGAAAUGAGGCAGAGCCCAGUAACGCUAGGCUUGCUGGCAAAGGCGCGAAGGAAGCCCAUUGGCUGCUGGUUUUUAUUUUUAGGCCAAAACACAGAAGCCCAUCGAAGUUGACUUUUGAGGGCACACCAAGUCGAGAGAAGCCCAGCAAGGGUUGUUAGCUUCUGGAACAGACUGAGGGCAUGAAGCCCAUGCACCAGGGAUCCAAGCGGCAUGCCUGGUCCUAAUUCGAGCAGUGAGCCCAGAUGACUGCCCAGUUGCUGACCCAAGCUUCAGGCUUAGCUUGAGCUUGGCG
rnacentral:lncRNA from 1 species